rnacentral:rRNA from 1 species
ACGCUGUAAACGAUGAUCACUAGCUGUUGGGCCGAUUAGGUUCAGUGGUUAAGCGAAAGUGAUAAGUGAUCCACCUGGGGAGUACGACCGCAAGGUUGAAACUCAAAGGAAUUGACGGGGGCCCGCACAAGCGGAGGAGCAUGUGGUUUAAUUCGAUGAUACGCGAGGAACCUUACCAGGGCUCGAAGGCAGGGGGAAUAUAUCUGAAAGGGUAUAGCCAGCGAUGGCCGCCUGCGAGGUGCUGCAUGGUUGUCGUCAGCUCGUGCCGUGAGGUGUCAGGUUAAGUCCUAUAACGAGCGCAACCCCUAUUCAUAGUUGCCAGCGGGUAAAGCCGGGGACUCUAUGGAAACUGCCUGCGCAAGCAGAGAGGAAGGAGGGGAUGACGUCAAAUCAGCACGGCCCCUAUGUCCUGGGCUACACACGUGCUACAAUGGCCGGUACAGAGGGCAGCGACCGCGUGAGUGGGAGCCAAUCCUAGAAAGCCGGUCUCAGUUCGGAUUGGAGUCUGCAACCCGACUCCAUGAAGUUGGAUUCGCUAGUAAUCGCGCAUCAGCCAUGGCGCGGUGAAUACGUUCCCGGGCCUUGUACACACCGCCCGUCAAGCCAUGGGAGCUGGGGGUGCCUGAAGUCCGUGAUCCUACGGGAAGCGGCCUAGGGUAAACUCAGUGACU